rnacentral:rRNA from 1 species
GAUGAACGCUGGCGGCGUGCCUAAUACAUGCAAGUCGAGCGAACGGACGAGAAGCUUGCUUCUCUGAUGUUAGCGGCGGACGGGUGAGUAACACGUGGAUAACCUACCUAUAAGACUGGGAUAACUUCGGGAAACCGGAGCUAAUACCGGAUAAUAUCUUGAACCGCAUGGUUCAAAAGUGAAAGACGGUCUUGCUGUCACUUAUAGAUGGAUCCGCGCUGCAUUAGCUAGUUGGUAAGGUCACGGCUUACCAAGGCAACGAUGCAUAGCCGACCUGAGAGGGUGAUAGGCCACCCUGGAACUGAGACACGGUCCAGACUCCUACGGGAGGCAGCAGUAGGGAAUCUUCCGCAAUGGGCGAAAGCCUGACGGAGCAACGCCACGUGAGUGAUGAAGGUCUUCGGAUCGUAAAACUCUGUUAUUAGGGAAGAACAUAUGUGUAAGUAACUGUGCACAUCUUGACGGUACCUAAUCAGAAAGCCACGGCUAACUACGUG